GGAUUGUGGCUCAGUGGUAGAGCACUUGCCUAGCAUGUGUGAGGCCCUGGGUUCGAUCCUCAGCACCA
rnacentral:tRNA from 1 species